rnacentral:rRNA from 1 species
UGCCAGCAGCCGCGGUAAUACGAAGGGACCUAGCGUAGUUCGGAAUUACUGGGCUUAAAGAGCUCGUAGGUGGUUAAAAAAGUUGAUGGUGAAAUCCCAAGGCUCAACCUUGGAACUGCCAUCAAAACUUUUUAGCUAGAGUGUGAUAGAGGUAAGUGGAAUUUCUAGUGUAGCGGUGGAAUGCGUAGAUAUUAUGAAGAAUACCAGUGGCGAAGGCGGCCCCCUGGAUCUGUACUGACACUGAGGUGCGAAAGCGUGGGUAGCGAACAGGAUUAGAUA